rnacentral:rRNA from 1 species
AUGCUGACCACCAACCCGGAACGCGUCCGCGCAAUGGUGGCAUGUGCUGAAAGAUUAGGUGUACCUCGUGGCGCUGGGAUGUUCAGGCAAGCGCUACGGGCUGUCGCGUUUCUCAACGAGGAGAAGAUUGCCGGCAAAGUGGACUACUUGAAGAAUACGCUCAGGUGGUCUGAUGCCGAAGCGAGCAUUGCUGUGUCUAAAGCUCCGCUGCUGCUGUGGAGGUCAAAGGACAUGCUGCAGAGCAAGUCAGAGUUCCUGGUGUCUGAGGUGGGGUUGGAACCCACGCUCAUUGCUCAUCGCCCGAUAAUGCUCACUUACAGCCUGGAGGGCCGGCUCAGGCCCCGGCACUACGUUCUAAAGUUUGUCAAGGCAAAUGGGUUGCUAGAUCGCGAUCGGAGCUACAUCUCUGCAGUCGAUUUGACCGAGAAUGUUUUUGUGGACAAGUUCGUGCGCCCUCACAUUGAAGUUGCGCCGCACCUUGNNNNNNNNNNGCCGAAUUGA